GGUUAAGCGACUAAGCGUACACGGUGGAUGCCCUGGCAGUCAGAGGCGAUGAAGGACGUGCUAAUCUGCGAUAAGCGUCGGUAAGGUGAUAUGAACCGUUAUAACCGGCGAUUUCCGAAUGGGGAAACCCAGUGUGUUUCGACACACUAUCAUUAACUGAAUCCAUAGGUUAAUGAGGCGAACCGGGGGAACUGAAACAUCUAAGUACCCCGAGGAAAAGAAAUCAACCGAGAUUCCCCCAGUAGCGGCGAGCGAACGGGGAGCAGCCCAGAGCCUGAAUCAGUGUGUGUGUUAGUGGAAGCGUCUGGAAAGGCGUGCGAUACAGGGUGACAGCCCCGUACACAAAAAUGCACAUAUUGUGAGCUCGAUGAGUAGGGCGGGACACGUGGUAUCCUGUCUGAAUAUGGGGGGACCAUCCUCCAAGGCUAAAUACUCCUGACUGACCGAUAGUGAACCAGUACCGUGAGGGAAAGGCGAAAAGAACCCCGGCGAGGGGAGUGAAAAAGAACCUGAAACCGUGUACGUACAAGCAGUGGGAGCCUCUUUUAUGGGGUGACUGCGUACCUUUUGUAUAAUGGGUCAGCGACUUAUAUUCUGUAGCAAGGUUAACCGAAUAGGGGAGCCGAAGGGAAACCGAGUCUUAACUGGGCGUUAAGUUGCAGGGUAUAGACCCGAAACCCGGUGAUCUAGCCAUGGGCAGGUUGAAGGUUGGGUAACACUAACUGGAGGACCGAACCGACUAAUGUUGAAAAAUUAGCGGAUGACUUGUGGCUGGGGGUGAAAGGCCAAUCAAACCGGGAGAUAGCUGGUUCUCCCCGAAAGCUAUUUAGGUAGCGCCUCGUGAAUUCAUCUCCGGGGGUAGAGCACUGUUUCGGCAAGGGGGUCAUCCCGACUUACCAACCCGAUGCAAACUGCGAAUACCGGAGAAUGUUAUCACGGGAGACACACGGCGGGUGCUAACGUCCGUCGUGAAGAGGGAAACAACCCAGACCGCCAGCUAAGGUCCCAAAGUCAUGGUUAAGUGGGAAACGAUGUGGGAAGGCCCAGACAGCCAGGAUGUUGGCUUAGAAGCAGCCAUCAUUUAAAGAAAGCGUAAUAGCUCACUGGUCGAGUCGGCCUGCGCGGAAGAUGUAACGGGGCUAAACCAUGCACCGAAGCUGCGGCAGCGACGCUUAUGCGUUGUUGGGUAGGGGAGCGUUCUGUAAGCCUGUGAAGGUGUGCUGUGAGGCAUGCUGGAGGUAUCAGAAGUGCGAAUGCUGACAUAAGUAACGAUAAAGCGGGUGAAAAGCCCGCUCGCCGGAAGACCAAGGGUUCCUGUCCAACGUUAAUCGGGGCAGGGUGAGUCGACCCCUAAGGCGAGGCCGAAAGGCGUAGUCGAUGGGAAACAGGUUAAUAUUCCUGUACUUGGUGUUACUGCGAAGGGGGGACGGAGAAGGCUAUGUUGGCCGGGCGACGGUUGUCCCGGUUUAAGCGUGUAGGCUGGUUUUCCAGGCAAAUCCGGAAAAUCAAGGCUGAGGCGUGAUGACGAGGCACUACGGUGCUGAAGCAACAAAUGCCCUGCUUCCAGGAAAAGCCUCUAAGCAUCAGGUAACAUCAAAUCGUACCCCAAACCGACACAGGUGGUCAGGUAGAGAAUACCAAGGCGCUUGAGAGAACUCGGGUGAAGGAACUAGGCAAAAUGGUGCCGUAACUUCGGGAGAAGGCACGCUGAUAUGUAGGUGAAGUCCCUUGCGGAUGGAGCUGAAAUCAGUCGAAGAUACCAGCUGGCUGCAACUGUUUAUUAAAAACACAGCACUGUGCAAACACGAAAGUGGACGUAUACGGUGUGACGCCUGCCCGGUGCCGGAAGGUUAAUUGAUGGGGUCAGCGCAAGCGAAGCUCUUGAUCGAAGCCCCGGUAAACGGCGGCCGUAACUAUAACGGUCCUAAGGUAGCGAAAUUCCUUGUCGGGUAAGUUCCGACCUGCACGAAUGGCGUAAUGAUGGCCAGGCUGUCUCCACCCGAGACUCAGUGAAAUUGAACUCGCUGUGAAGAUGCAGUGUACCCGCGGCAAGACGGAAAGACCCCGUGAACCUUUACUAUAGCUUGACACUGAACAUUGAGCCUUGAUGUGUAGGAUAGGUGGGAGGCUUUGAAGUGUGGACGCCAGUCUGCAUGGAGCCGACCUUGAAAUACCACCCUUUAAUGUUUGAUGUUCUAACGUGGACCCGUGAUCCGGGUUGCGGACAGUGUCUGGUGGGUAGUUUGACUGGGGCGGUCUCCUCCUAAAGAGUAACGGAGGAGCACGAAGGUUGGCUAAUCCUGGUCGGACAUCAGGAGGUUAGUGCAAUGGCAUAAGCCAGCUUGACUGCGAGCGUGACGGCGCGAGCAGGUGCGAAAGCAGGUCAUAGUGAUCCGGUGGUUCUGAAUGGAAGGGCCAUCGCUCAACGGAUAAAAGGUACUCCGGGGAUAACAGGCUGAUACCGCCCAAGAGUUCAUAUCGACGGCGGUGUUUGGCACCUCGAUGUCGGCUCAUCACAUCCUGGGGCUGAAGUAGGUCCCAAGGGUAUGGCUGUUCGCCAUUUAAAGUGGUACGCGAGCUGGGUUUAGAACGUCGUGAGACAGUUCGGUCCCUAUCUGCCGUGGGCGCUGGAGAACUGAGGGGGGCUGCUCCUAGUACGAGAGGACCGGAGUGGACGCAUCACUGGUGUUCGGGUUGUCAUGCCAAUGGCACUGCCCGGUAGCUAAAUGCGGAAGAGAUAAGUGCUGAAAGCAUCUAAGCACGAAACUUGCCCCGAGAUGAGUUCUCCCUGACUCCUUGAGAGUCCUGAAGGAACGUUGAAGACGACGACGUUGAUAGGCCGGGUGUGUAAGCGCAGCGAUGCGUUGAGCUAACCGGUACUAAUGAACCGUGAGGCUUAACCUU
rnacentral:rRNA from 1 species